rnacentral:rRNA from 1 species
UACGAAGGGGGCUAGCGUUGCUCGGAAUCACUGGGCGUAAAGCGCACGUAGGCGGCUUUCUAAGUCAGGGGUGAAAUCCUGGAGCUCAACUCCAGAACUGCUUUUGAUACUGGAGAGCUCGAGUCCGGAAGAGGUGAGUGGAACUGCGAGUGUAGAGGUGAAAUUCGUAGAUAUUCGCAAGAACACCAGUGGCGAAGGCGGCUCACUGGUCCGGUACUGACGCUGAGGUGCGAAAGCGUGGGGAGCAAACAGG